UAUGUAGGCAGCAAGCGUUGUUCGGAGUUACUGGGCGUAAAGGGUGUGUAGGCGGUUGUUUAAGUUUGGUGUGAAAUCUCCCGGCUCAACUGGGAGGGUGCGCCGAAUACUGAAUGACUAGAGUGCGGGAGAGGUGAGUGGAAUUCCUGGUGUAGCGGUGAAAUGCGUAGAUAUCAGGAGGAACACCGGUGGUGUAGACGGCUCACUGGACCGUAACUGACGCUGAGACACGAAAGCGUGGGUAGCAAACAGG
rnacentral:rRNA from 1 species